GAUGAACGCUAGCGGGAGGCCUAACACAUGCAAGCCGAGCGGUAGAGUUUCUUCGGAAACUUGAGAGCGGCGCACGGGUGCGUAACACGUGUGCAACCUACCUUUAUCUGGGGGAUAGCCUUUCGAAAGGAAGAUUAAUACCCCAUAAUAUAAUGAUUGGCAUCAAUUAUUAUUGAAAACUCCGGUGGAUAGAGAUGGGCACGCGCAAGAUUAGAUAGUUGGUGAGGUAACGGCUCACAAAGUCAAUGAUCUUUAGGGGUCGUGAGAGGGAGAUCCCCCACACUGGUACUGGGACACGGACCAGACUCCUACGGGAGGCAGCAGUGAGGAAUAUGAGACAAUGGUGGAGAGCCUGAUCCAGCCAGCCCGCGUGAAGGAUGACGGUCCUAUGGAUUGUAAACUUCUUUUGGACAGGUAUAAACCUACCCUCGUGAGGGUAGCUGAAGGUACUGUACGAAUAAGCACCGGCUAACUCCGUG
rnacentral:rRNA from 1 species